rnacentral:rRNA from 1 species
GAUGAACGCUGGCGGCGUGCCUAAUACAUGCAAGUCGAGCGAACGGACGAGAAGCUUGCUUUUCUGAUGUUAGCGGCGGACGGGUGAGUAACACGUGGAUAACCUACCUAUAAGACUGGGAUAACUUCGGGAAACCGGAGCUAGUACCGGAUCAUAUUUUGAACCGCAUGGUUCAAAAGUGAAAGACGGUCUUGCUGUCACUUAUAGAUGGAUCCGCGCUGCAUUAGCUAGUUGGUAAGGUAACGGCUUACCAAGGCAACGAUGCAUAGCCGACCUGAGAGGGUGAUCGGCCACACUGGAACUGAGACACGGUCCAGACUCCUACGGGAGGCAGCAGUAGGGAAUCUUCCGCAAUGGGCGAAAGCCUGACGGAGCAACGCCGCGUGAGUGAUGAAGGUCUUCGGAUCGUAAAACUCUGUUAUUAGGGAAGAACAUAUGUGUAAGUAACUGUGCACAUCUUGACGGUACCUAAUCAGAAAGCCACGGCUAACUACGUG